rnacentral:rRNA from 1 species
AUUGAACGCUGGCGGCAUGCUUUACACAUGCAAGUCGAACGGUAACAGGCCUUCGGGCGCUGACGAGUGGCGAACGGGUGAGUAAUGCAUCGGAACGUGCCCAGAGGUGGGGGGAUAACGCAGCGAAAGCUGUGCUAAUACCGCAUAUUAUCUGAGGAUGAAANCGGGGGGACUAAGCAGCAAUGUUUGGCCUCGCGCCUUUGGAGCGGCCGAUGUCAGAUUAGGUAGUUGGUGGGGUAAAGGCCUACCAAGCCGACGAUCUGUAGCUGGUCUGAGAGGACGACCAGCCACACUGGGACUGAGACACGGCCCAGACUCCUACGGGAGGCAGCAGUGGGGAAUUUUGGACAAUGGGCGCAAGCCUGAUCCAGCAAUGCCGCGUGCAGGAAGAAGGCCUCGGUUGUAAACU